rnacentral:lncRNA from 1 species
UACGUCCUCCAUGUUUUCUUGAGUUUACAUUAUACAUGACUGCAUCAGCAGGGAGGCGGAGCAUAAAGAGACGAGGGCAGAGAUUCGGCGAUUGACAGAACAUGUAGAUUCACACAAGAGCUUGCUCAAAAGGGAAAAAGACUCUGGGAGAAAGUCAGCACAGCGGGUAAUUUUAAAGAAAUGAGGUAGAUUUUAAUGUACAGCAUUUACCGGUAUAUAUAAAUGCUUUAUAAAUACAUUUACAUUUUAUUCAGUUCUACUCUGAUUCAACUACUCCCGUUUUCUAUAUAGCUGAAGAAGGCACUAAAUGAUGCAUCGGCAAAGUCAGGUGACCUCUCACGAGCCAAUCAGGAGCUUCGAGAGAAAGUGUCCGAGCUGGAGAAGCUUAUAUCACAUCAGAAGUCUCAAUUGAAUCAGUAUCUGGGCAACAGAACAGCACUGAAUCACUCUUUAAGAAUCAAGGAUUUGGAAGCAGAAAUUAAAAGUCUUGAAGAAGCAAAGGACGAAUAUAAGAGGAGGAGUCAUGAACAGGUAUAUGUUCAAACCUGUUUAUAUACAAACAAGGGAAAAUUGCCUCUCUAAAGGU